CACGUAGGGCGCAAGCGUUGUCCGGAAUUAUUGGGCGUAAAGAGCUCGUAGGUGGUUUGUUACGUCCGCUGUGAAAUCCUAGGGCUUAACCCUGGGCUUGCAGUGGAUACGGGCAGACUAGAGGUAGGUAGGGGAGAAUGGAAUUCCUGGUGUAGCGGUGAAAUGCGCAGAUAUCAGGAGGAACACCGAUGGCGAAGGCAGGUCUCUGGGCAUUAACUGACGCUGAGGAGCGAAAGCAUGGGGAGCGAACAGG
rnacentral:rRNA from 1 species